GUACACUGGUAUGUCAACAUGGGGUAACUUUGAAGAAGAGACACCAGCAGCUUGAACUGUAUCUGACCCUCUUAGAGACCUGAGAGCCUCAUUAAUCUUCGCUAUUGUGUUAAAGUAGCGGUCCUCAAAGUCACCUGCAUCCUCUGUGUCCUUGUCAUCAAGGCUCAAUAUGUCCAGUUGGAAUCCCUCGUAAUCUUUGAGGGAAGAGGCUAGCUUCUCUUUUCGAGCCUCCAAGGUAUCAAGAGAGGCGGAAUUUAAGGUAGGUAUUGGGAUCGUUGACAAACUGCUCGAUGCGAGUCAUAGUUGCUUUGACUUGGCCGCGCAUUAUUUUUAACUUCUUGAGCUCCGCCAUUGUUGUAUUUCACGAAACAAAUGCUCAAUCCUGUUUAAGCACAAACCCGCACUUUGAUAACACACAUUUGUUAAUAAUUGCAGUUGAAAUAUGUAAUAAAGUUGCAAAGCCGCGGUUGUCGCGUAAUUUUUUCCACUUGGCUUUAGCUGUGUUAACUGAAAGAGAAUAAAAUCAAGGUUAAUUUUGUGAAAGUAAUAUAAUAAAAUAUAUUUACAGGUAUUUAGCAACUGGCAGCAAGUUUUCAACCAUUGCAGAAAAUUUUAGAAUUGGAAAAAGUACUGUAUCAAAGAUUAUUCCAGAAGUUUGUGGUUGCAUUUGGAAGGUGCUGCAGCCGUUAUACAUGCCAGUACCAAAUAAAGAUGAUUGGUAUAUAAUAGCAAAAGAUUUUGCAGACUUGUGGCAAUUCAAGAAUUGUGCUGGUGCGCUGGACGGCAAACAUGUGUACAUUAAUGCACCAAAAAAUUCAGGGUCUUCAUUUUUUAAUUAUAAACACAGAUUUUCAAUCGUUUUAAUGUGUGUAGCCGACGCUAAAAGGAAAAUAAUAAUGGCAGAUAUUGGGUCGAUGGGGAGGUUCAGUGAUGGAGGAAUAUUCUCUGAUAGCGAAUUUGGAAGGAGACUACAAAACAAAGCUUUAGAUUUACCACCACCUGAACCACUAACUCGAACCAGUACCAUUCGUAUUUAUUGGGGACGAAGCUUUUCCCUUGUCUUAUAAUUUAAUGCGUCCAUAUCCUAGAGAUCAAUUGAAUGCAAGCAAAAAAAUAUUUAAUUACAGGCUAUCAAGAGCUCGUCGUAUUGUAGAGGCGACAUUCGGUGUGUUGAAAAGGAAAUGGUAUGUGUAUCACAGAGAAUUUGAAUGCCAAGUCGAUACUGUCGAUAAAAUUGUUAAAGCAACAUGCAUUUUACAUAAUUAUUAGAUUGAAAACCAGCCAAACUUUUUAAAUGAAAUAAAUGCAGAUGCAGUACCAAGAGACGAGAGGGAUAGCAAUACAUUGAUGAUAACAAAUAAUGCAAGUACAAAUGAAAUUUACCGGAUCCGAGAUAUAUUUUGUGAUUACUUCAACAACGAGGGUAAAGUCCCGUGGCAGGAGACCCGUAUUUUGCGACGCCUGAGCAAUUUAUAAAUUAAAUAAAUACGUAUUGUACUUACCAUUCUGAAUAUUUGUUUCAUUCACCACUAACUGCCACGCUGCAUCCUUCGUCUCAUUACACUUGUAAGUAGUAAGUUGAGUGUUCCACAAACAUGGGUACUUUUUGACACUUUCAAUGAACAAUUCGUCACCCAUUGUGAAUCGUGCGCAGGUGUGUAGUAUCGGUGACGCUAGCGGUCCAACUGACUGUGCGGCUCGAUUAGAAUCCCGCCCCUCCACUCUGCUUCGCCCCUCUGGGCCCGUGAUUACACGUCUCCUCUCCGCUCAGCUCGUCUCCGCUUGACUAUUUCCAUUGAAUCGGAGCGGAGCGGAGAUGAGAUGUGGAUUUCACGUAAUAUGAUUGGUCAAUCCCCACACGUCUCCUCUCAGCUCCGCCCGUCUCCGCUUGACUGUUUCCAUUGAAGCGGAGCGGAGACGAGAUGUGGAUUUCAUGUAAUACGAUUGGUCGAUCCCCACACGUCUCCUCUCAGCUCCGCUCGUCUCCGCUUGACUGUUUCCAUUGAAGCGGAGCGGAGACGAGAUGUGGAUUUCAUGUAAUACGAUUGGUCGAUCCCCACACGUCACCUCUCAGCUCCGCUCGUCUCCGCUUGACUGUUUCCAUUGAAGCGGAGCGGAGACGAGAUGUGGAUUUCAUGUAAUACGAUUGGUCGAUCCCCACACAUCUCCUCUCAGCUCCGCUCGUCUCCGCCUCAAUGAAGCCGCAGCCUUAUAGCACAGAACGAAUAGAACGCUGACCGCGCAUCAUAGACACAACUAUUCUCAAAUGUUGCAAGCAACAAAUAUUAGCACUAAUGUUAAACAUACAAUGUUUAAAGCUAUGUUCAGACUUGUCUUGAACAGUGUCAAUUGGUUGGCAGGAACUGUCCAAACCGAGCACUGUUUUGCUGUGCGGACCACUUAAAUGUAAGUUACCUUGUUUUGUUUACCAUUCUGUAAAAAAAUGAAUUACCCCAUGUUAGUUUUGAUGAUAUGGCAUUUUUUUAAAUUGUGGAAUAAUGGAUGGAAUAAUUUAUGGUAAGCUGGUAAAAAACAAUUUUAUUAAUACAUUACAUUAAUGUGGGUGCUGCUAUGUCAUGUUUAAACCCAUAUCAAUGAAUUUUCACUUUGUAUUAAAAUAACAUGUGGUAUUUGUCAGUACAUGGUGAACAAAAACACUAUGAGGAAACUGGGCUGAUCAAAACAAUGCCUAGUUUCCUCCAGUUAAAAAAAUGUGUGCCUAUGCCAACACCAAUACUUAAUGUUAUAUUGCCCAGCAGACCCCAGGCUCCAUAAGUGAGCUACAGCAAAUACUGGGGAACAUUUGGAAGAUUAUGACAACUGUUAAAUAUAAAUGUUUAAUGUUUUCUAAUAUUUUUACAGUUUGAAGAAGAAUUGGAAAAUUAUGGACAAUGGAUCUCUGGUGCAAACCCAAGACUGAAAAUAAAUGCCAUACUUAAGAAUUUUUCAAAAAACCAAGUGCAAUCAAUAAGAAUAUUGAAGAUCUUAAUCGACCAUCAACUUCAAGUGCUGCUGACAAUGCUGGAAUGCAGGUCUCUGACAGUGUAAAUAUUCACAAUAGUGUUGCGCACAUAAAUGUAUUAAUAUUCUUGGGUAUAGAUUUGACACACUGCAUUUAAAUACCAACUUUACUUUGCUACCUGUGCCAAUUAUUUUUUUUUUUUAAUUUUCUUAAAUCACUAAUUUACAAGUUCUAAUGUAUGUUAACUAGAGGUGUGCGCCGAAGGCUAAUCCAUCGGCGGCGGCGUCUGGUCCAAAAAUAGCCGGCGGCGUCGGCGUAAUCGGCGUAAUUAAUAAAAACAACUAAAAUUUGAUUUUUUUUGCAGUUUUUUUUUCCUUCGAUUAAUUGAGUUGCUAGAGUAAAAUUUUCCAGGUUAAGAGACUCAUUCAAGUAAUGUAAGGUCAAUGUCAAAUAAUGAUUUCUUUUAUACGAGUCGCUCCACAAAUCGGUUGUUAAGGCUACAGACCUCGGGCUGGAACUUUGUAUUAGAACUUUGAUGUGUGCUUUCAUACUACGAAACACAUCUUCUAGUGCAGUUCUCGAAAUCGUAGUACGUGAAGGAAGAUCUUGUUUCUUAACUAUGACCUUGUAUUUGAGAAAAAAAUCUAUCAUCGCCUCGUCGGACACGGAAUAAAAAGGUAAUAAAGAUCUGCAUAUCCACAAAGCCAGAUCACGAGCCAGGAGCCAUUUUCGGUUUCUAUUUGUUUCUGACGACAAGGUAUCUGCGACCGAUGCGCGUCGUGUAUCAAAAAAUGUGGUUAUUCUUUGAACUUCAGCACGAGUUUUUUCAGGUUCUUGGAUCUGGUGAUCAUCCUUUAAAUGUCGUAUAAGAUUGCCCGUGCUUACUUUUGCGCCGUAGGUUUUUAUUUUACAGCUGGAAACAAAACCAUUAAUUUUAUGUGCAUGCAGCCAAACACCAGCUAAACACUCGGCCAUAACCAUACGUGAGCUAACUUGGGGCACAAAUACUAAAGUGGUACGAGUUUACCAAAAUAUUUUAGGACAAGAAUAUCGAUGUGACCUACUGUCAACGUAUAGAUAUAGAUACAGAAAAUAUUCUGCAAAUAUUAUUUUAUUCUGACUUCAUUUUAAAACAUAAACCAUCGUGUAUUUGUAUUAGUGUUUAAUUUUUAAAUAGUUUUUUAUGGUACCUAUACAUUUUUAUUAAUUUCUUAUUUUGAUUUAAAUGACAUCCAUUACAUAUAGAUAGGCUCGAUAAUCUCGAUAUCCAACAUCAUGAAAUGAAACUGAACCUCUUUAUAAUAAUAAUAAUCAAAAAUGUCAAUGGACAUAAUUAUUUAUGUACAUCUUAUUUAACGAUAUCAAAUCCUUAAUGUUGCUCUGCCCCGACUUAGCAGUGUUAGUACACGUACAAUGUUAAAUGCAUAAAACAAAACAGAAACACGCUUAACACAAUGCAAAAUGCAGACAAAAAAUCUCUAUCUAAACACAAGACGAUUAAAAAUAGAAAAUGCGAUAAUAUUGCAUAAUUACAUUAUUAAGUACAUUUAAUUUUAUUUUAUAUUGAUAUGUGCGUAGAUAAAGAUCCAGAUUACGUAUAAAUUAGGUAAAUUAAGUCUCAAUAAUAUUAGUAUUAUUAAAAAAAUCGACUUAAACGUAUUUAUUUCUGAAACCACACUCGUGUUUAAUACGUUUCUAUACAAACAAAAUGUUAGUAACUGAAGUAGGCAAGGCACCCGAAGAAAUACAAAACAAUUAAAGCAAAAUAAUCGAUUUCACACCCAAAAAAAGUAUAAAAGUGCACUUACCAUCCCAUAAGAUCAUCAUCUUUGUUAGAUUUACAUGUAUCAAUACAUUUUGAACAAAAUACGUUGUCUAUGAGCAGAUGAGCACCGAUCGCUUCUUGCCAUCCUUUUCAAGUAGCAAUGUACCAAAAUACUUCCAACAAAAACUGCUUUUUGACGACGAAUGCAAUGUUUUCACUGAAAAAUGCUUAAUUGCAUGUCUUUCGACUGCUUUUUUAUCAAAAUAGUCCGACAUUGUGGUUGCGUAACAUUGAACGUGCGAUCCGCGUCUACUCAAAAUGGUUGACUGACUCCCCGCGUCGCGCUGCGUAUGGCCUUCAUGCCUCGCCCCACCCGUCGAGCGCCCCGUACCCCGCACCGCGCAGGAGAGCACGCAGAAGAGUUUAUUAUUGCUUAUUCCGCGCGCCUUAUUUAUUGCGUUUUACUACUACGGACCACUGGGCGCUGUCCGCUUCGCAAUUUUCUCGUCUUUCGUUUGGCGUGUGUGUUGUGUACUUUUACUACGCUUAACACAGUAAAUUAACGCUGCAUGUACUCGCGCGCGAGCGUGAAUUAAUUUAUAUGCCUUGUUGGAAUGUACAUACAUACACAGAACGGACCAAAAUUCAAGUUCUAACUUCACGCCGAUUUCACGCCGGUGGAAUGAUCGGCGGCCGGCGGCGUGGCAAAAAUGACCGGCGGCGUACGCCACGCCGGUCGGCGCACACCUCUAAUGUUAACGUAGUAUUGUUAAAUAAGCACUUGACCUGCUCUAGCACAUGAUUGGCGCGACAGUAUCUCGCGCCGAGAUACACUACCCGCCCCUCUUAAAUUAACAUAGAAAAAGACGGGUAGUCUAUCUCGCUGCGAUAUACUGUAGCGCCAGUCAUGUGCAAGCCCUACUGAAAAGGUAUAGGUAAAAAUUACUAGUGGUCUUUGUGCAUGAAGAUGUAUUUAUAGAACACAGGCAUGGAUAUAAUGUCAAAUAUUUAUAUACAAAUGCACCUACUACAAUUUGUGUGGCUUUAAUAAUUUGAAUUUAAUAAAUGCCCACUUUCCUUACCUAAAAAUAAACUUUUACCUGUUUCUGUGAUUGUUAAAUUGUAGGGUCACAAGUUGCAUUAUAUUUUGUUUAUUUAUUCUUUGCAUUUUUGUUUCAGAUAGAUGUAGCUAUACAGUGUGAUAAAAGAAUUUGAUAUGGAAAAAAAGGAUUUAUUUUGAAUAAAAAAAUUUACUCCUAUAAACGAAAAAAAUUUCAAUUUUCUUAAGGUACUGAUACACAUGCUCUAUAAUAGCAUGCUUAAAAGUGUGCUUAUGAGCAUGCUUGGUUUGAGCGUGCUUAUGCACUGUUCACAUUUGCUACAAAUAAGCAUGCUAAUUUUGAGCAUACUUACGAAUCAGCAUGCUCAAAGCAAAUACUCCGAAUACACAUGCCAUUUAGUAGCGUGCUCUCUGCCACGAACGAUGGACGACGUAGCUUUCCGCCUAGAGCUCAAUAAAAUCAUUAUGAUAAAUA